rnacentral:rRNA from 1 species
AACGAACGCUGGCGGCAUGCCUAACACAUGCAAGUCGAACGAGACCUUCGGGUCUAGUGGCGCCCGGGUGCGUAACGCGUGGGAACCUGCCCUUAGGUUCGGAAUAACUCUCCGAAUGGGGUGCUAAUACCGGAUAAUGUCUUCGGACCAAAGAUUUAUCGCCUUUGGAUGGGCCCGCGUUGGAUUAGCUAGUUGGUAGGGUAAAAGCCUACCAAGGCGACGAUCCAUAGCUGGUCUGAGAGGAAGAUCAGCCACACUGAGAGUGAGACACGGCCCAGACUCCUACGGGAUGCAGCAGUGGGGAAUAUUGGAAAAUGGGCGGAAGCCUGAUCCAGCAAUGCCGCGUGAGUGAUGAAGGCCUUAGGGAUGUAAAGCUCUUUUAACCGGGAUGAUAAUGACAGUACCGGGAGAAUAAGCUCCGGCUAACUCCGUG